rnacentral:lncRNA from 1 species
AUGCAUUUCCAUUUUGAUUAUAUGCUCGGGAAGGCAUGUGGCAGCACAUCCCUGGCCUCAGAUAACAGGGGCAGCACAGCUCGUGAGGAGGAGCGCUUGGCGGCAAAGCAUUGGCAGGGCAGAGGGACAGCGGUGAGGGCUGCUCCCAGCCCCAAGCCCUCACCAACCAGCCCUGAGUCAUGCUCUGACAAAUGUCAAGACCUCUUUCUCACGUUGCCAUCUCAUUUCGGCACCAAGGGUGGUCAGAAAAUGAAGCUAGAGCUGCAAGGGCUGGCAGAAGGCACCGUGGUGGUGAGCUUGAUGCUUCUCCAGGGCCCUGCCCGAGGCGCUCGCAGAGCGAUGCUCGCUGGCCAGCUGGCUGCCCACAGCCAGAGAGUUUCCCAGAAAUGGAGACCUCAGUGCUCCCCGCAGCAGCCUCCCCACCAUACUUGUGCUGAGGCAGUCGCAUCUUCUCAGUGCUGUGGUCGGGAGGCAUGCGUGGGCUCGUGCGGGUCGGUGACACAUGGAAACGUGCUGCUGCGAACCUCGGAGCUGCUGCUGUUCCUCAUGAUGCCCAUCUCGGCGAGGGAGCUCUGCAGAUCACAGAAGCUCAGCAGUCCUUCCUGUCCCAGCCUCAUCGAUCCGAUGCAGCGGCUAUGGAAGAAGAGCAGGGAGGCACAGGAGAGCCUGCACAUCGCAGCAAAACUCUGGUUACCUGGAAGAGCCAGGCAGCAGCAGACUGGUUCACGGGCGAAUCUUUCCUGCUGUAUCAAGCAUAAAUUAAUCAGCUUGCGAGAAAAAAAAAUGCCAACUUUCCAGAGGCAGACCCGUGCAGCUAAUGGCAGCCUUGUGAGCAGGAGGGAGGACACAACUACUGCCUGGCCAAAUAGGAGCACACCAUCGGCACAGCUGGUGGGCAGGAUGUGGACCAGCUCGUGA